CCGCUGGUGAGUCCGGAUCUCAAAGUGGAACCUAGCAUCCUUAUGCACGUGUGGGGAUUUAAGAACACAAUAGAUCCUCUUCUUGGUCGGUAACGGCACCGGACCCAUGGUCUUGGCAUUCGUAGUCCGUGCAGCAUCUAUUAUCUGCUUGCAAGAGUCCUCAAUCAAGGGGACCCAGUAUGACCUAAGUUUAAUCCUAAUCUUUUGCUUAGGUGCUGCCUGUGACAACAAAUGUGAAUAUUAAUCUCCAUUUUCCAAUAGAACCAACAGAAAACAAGAUACUGAUUUCCAGUAAUUUGGAUUUCUUGUAUGCCAUUUGAAAUCCCCCUUGAUAAACCGCACAGAUAACAGCCAGUCCCAUGUAAUUACAGUUAAUUAUUCUUCCAAAGAAGAAUUUCAUGAUCUUGACAUCAUACAGGCAAUAAAUUUCAACAUAGAAGAGGUUCCCCCUCGUACCGUUUUGACAAUGAAAAUGUUUCUAAGCAGACAUUCUCAGGAAAAAGUAGACGCCAAUCAG
rnacentral:lncRNA from 1 species